GCGGCGGACACUCGCUUGCUGGAGGGUGGUUUCAGUCCUCUGCUCUUCCGCCUGGAUAGCUGCGGUCACACUUACUGCCAGGUUGACAUAAUCUGGUGUCAAGAAGUGGGACCAAAGUGAGCUCACCUUGAUGGAUCGGUGACCCCUGGAAUCACAUGAAGUUCCCACAUUGAGCCCCUUUGAGCUCUCCAGUCCUACAGCUCACCUUUUCUGUCAUGGUGAAUCUCCUCUCAGGUUCUUGAACUCCCUCAUUUUGCCAUUAUACAAUUCAGUGAGUCCUAGCUGAAAUGUAAAAACACCUGAGAAACUAACCACUAAAUUUGAGGCUUUAAAAAAAAAAGCUAGCUAAAGCCAUCUCGAAUCCAGAGGAUAAACAAGUCCACCAAUGCAGACAUCAUCCCGCUCUGUCGCCCAGGCUGGAGUGCAGUGGCGCGAUCUCGGCUUACCGCAAGUUCCACCUCCCGGGUUCACACCAUUCUCCUGCCUCAGCCUUCUGAGAAGCUGGGACUACAGGCGCCCGCCAUCAUGUCCGGCUAAUUUUUUUGUAUUUUUAGUAGAGACGGAGUUUCACAGUGUUAGCCAGGAUAGCCUUGAUUUCCUGACCUUGUGAUUCGCCCGCCUCGGCCUCCCAAAGUGCUGGGAUUACAAGCGUGAGCCACUGCGUCUGGCUUCCACUCUUUUGAAAAUCUUUACCAAGAAUUGAAUCCAAGAGGAAGAGAAGCAUCCUUCCUUCAGUGCCUUUGUGGUGGUGCUUGGUGAGAGAUAGUGGUGAAGGCAUUGCCUAAAGAGAGAGGCACUAACAGGCAGAGGAGUGGUUGAGACCAGUAAGAACUGCCCUGCCUGGUGGAGCAGAGGCAGAAGCUGAUGCCCAGGCUCUGCAGCAUCUAUAGGGAACUUGGUGCCUGCAGUGCUCAUCAAAUGAUCCAGAGGCCUCCUUGAACACUGCAAAACCCAGAAGAAAUUACCAUGCCAACGGAGCAGAACCAGAUCCUUUGGGGAAACACAGCGCUGGUGGAAGAACUAUAGCUCCAGUCUGUACUUUCCUCUUCAAGGUGAAGUCUGUUGUAAGGAUGGACAUUGAACUUGCCUAGAAAACUGUCUGGUUUUAUUUCAAAACGCUAAGCCUCAGUAAAGGAGAGAAAUAGCAGGUAAAGAUAAAAUGACUUGCAGAAAGCUGAAGUAAAAGAACUUUGCUCAGUUGAUAAAACAAUAUCCCACAUGCUCGAUAAUACCAGAGGAACUUGCGUUUUGGACAUGAGGACCCUGAUCCAGAUUUGUGAUAGUAUUGCUAGGGAGAGAGCAAGAGACCCCAAAGUAUGAAAUUCUCAGCCUUGGCAAAAAAUACCCAUGCUGCAAACCUGGUGUGGAAGCAGCUAAGCGCUACUGGAUGUGAAGGGAUGAUGCAGAAAGAGCAUGGACAGGUCUAUGAAGAGAUGACCAAUGACUAGUGGGCCUUUCUGUUACCUCCUUGAUGCCCUGGCACUGCAUAAGAUUCCAGAACCACGAACAGCCCUGGGGAGAUUGGCAUCAAGCUUAAAGAAUGAACAAAGUUAAAUUUCUAUAUGCUGGGUAGAAUCUGGGUGGGGAGUGUUGCUCAAAAUCAGAAAGUAUCUUGAUGUACAAAAUUUUUUGCACAUCUGUAGAGAACUGAUAUUCCCACCCACUAUACCUGAGUUAUCAGAAAAGACAAGAAUCAAGCUCACUUCUGAGUUUCAGUGGAUCACAGUGGCUGCAAGGACAGUUAGGCUCUUUCUAAUCACAAGCCAAAAUGACAUGUUAGGGAAUCUUAGGGGUGUUAAAGUAAAGAAGACAAAUUUCUGUCUUACAGCCAGUCCUCCCACCCGCGUUGGAAUGAAUCUGGAAAAUCAUUUGGGAUAUUACCAGUUCUUGCCAUUGUGUUCUCAUGCUGCUGUAGAUUCCUAUUGCCGUCCUAUACCAUUCUGGUGAUUCAGCUACUCUCUGUAGCUGCUAUUCCUGCUACUGAGCAAUGAACUGACUUCUCUCCAUUGUCUUUCUCAGCUUUUGCCAUUCAUGGUUUCUGACUACUCUUGGCUUUUAUUGUCUCAUGGCUUCUGAUCAUUGCCUUUUCUCUGGGUGAGAAAAGGUUGGCUUUGUUCUUUUCUUUUUUUGAAUUCUACCCCCAUUAUAAAGUGCUGACUUACUCUGUGUGUUGUGCACUCAGCUUUGUAAGAGAGAAUACUGAUCCAUUCAUUCAAUCAUGGCCACCUCUGUUGGGCAAGGCUAUCAUUCCUGAAUCAUUUGCUUAUCCCUGGUCCAAGCUGCAGCCAGGGAUAGGAGUUCUCAAGCUUUUUUUUUCUGAGCUGGCUUGCUCUGCUGCCCAGGCUAGAGUGCAGUGGUGCGAUCUCAGCUCUCUGCAACCUCUGCCUCCUGGGUUCAAGUGAUUCUCCUGCCUCAGCCUCCCAAGUAGAUGGGAUUAUGGGCUUGUGCCACCAAGCCUGGCUAAUUUUUAUAUUUUUAGUAGAGAUGGGGUUUCAUCCUGUUUGCCAGGCUGGUCUUGAACUUCUGACCUCAAGUGAUCCACCUGCCUCUGCCUCCCAAAGUGCUGGGAUUGCAGGUGUGAGCCAUCACGCCCAGCCGGUUCUCAAGCUUUUCUGAGCUUACCUCACAAGGAGUUGUAAUUGUGGCAGACCCUGUGAGAUGAAGAAUAAAAGCGAACACUUAUGGAGUGCUAACCGUGGGCCAGACAUUGUUCUAAGUGCUGUAUAGUCUGUUCAACCUUCCAAAUAAUAUACCCAUUUUACAGAUAAGGAAGCUAAGGUGGUUAAAGUUGACAAUAUUUCCAGGAUCACAUAGCCAGUAAGCAGCAGAGCUAGGAUUCUAGCCAGGCAGUCUAGCUUUUUUAUAAGCAGUGCUCUCUGCUUGUAUUCUGUGAAAUCUCUUUAUAUUAGGAUCUGUUCCUUUAUUUUCUGAAUUGAGACUGAUAAUUAAGCCAAGAAUAUUCUUACUAAACUGUUGAUUGCGGAUCAACCUUUGAGUAUCACUAACAGUAAGGAAGAUUCUUUCAACAAUCCCAGAAAUUCAUCAAAUGCUUUCUUCCUAAGUGAAAAAGAAAAAAGAGAUGUUAUUAGGGUAGAUAUUUUCUUUCAAUGUUAUUCAGCAUUCCAGACCAUCAGGAGCAUAACAUAAUUCUGUUCAGGGACCUGUACUGUUGUUUAUAUUCAAAGAGGAUAGAAGCCUUAAAAGAGCAGCUUCAUUAAUAUCAGAUUUUUCAGAGUCCUCCAAAAAUGUUUUAUGGCAUGUCCUAUUCAGUUUUUCUAAAUUAUAGACUCAAGUAUUUAUAGACAACAAUAGCAUUGCUUUAAGUAAGAUGAAAUGAUGUUAGGAAUUGAAAGCCUAUCCUGAUCAUCUUUGUAAAAAAUAUCAGAAUAGUGGGAGCUUAAAAAAUUAAGACAAUUGAACUCAUGGAGAUAGACAGUAGAAUGAUGGCUACCAGAGGCUGGGAAAGAUAGUUGAAGAGUGAGUGGUUAAUGGGAACAAAAAUGUAGUUAGAAUGAAUUAGCACAACAGGAUGACUACAGUACAACAAUAAUCGCACAUUUUAACAUAACUAAAAUAAUAUAAUUGGAUUGUUUGUAGCACAAAGAAAGGAUAAAUUCUUGAUGUGGUGGAUACUCCAUUUACCCUGAUGUGAUUAUUAUGCAAUAUGUGUCUGUAGCAAAAUAUCUCAUGUGCCCCAUAAAUAUAUACACCUAGUAUGUACCCACACAUUUUUAAAAAAAAUUUUAAAUAUCAGAAUACAUGUAAUAAACAGUAAUGAAGAUAAAAUUACUUGAGAAUCCCUAAAGACACGUUACUUGUAUUCUUGUAGUAAAGACUAUUAUUG